CAACCAUUAUUUUUUUGCAUAAAAUUACUUAUCUAUAUGCAAACGAUUUCUCUGUUUUUAGUAGCCUUGCAGGACAUCAGAGAGCAGAUAACACAUUGGCCACAUCUCCAGUAAACGUGGCAAUCAUACUAAAUCAUAAAAGGAAGUAUGAAUGCAAUGCUUGAGAAGACUAGGACUCUGAAAAUUGACACGAAGCAGAGUUAUGUGCUUGUAUGGAGGGAAUAUUCAUUGCCAUUCAGAGAUCAGAGUUGCCUAUUUGUGUGAAACUAGACACGCUAUCAGUAGUGAAGGUGCUCAAGGAGAAGGAUCUAGACAGAUCAAUGUUUGCAUCAUUGAUUGCUGAGAUCAAUCAUCUUUUGCCUCCUCGUUUUGGUUCCGGCUUGCGAGAGGUAGUAAAGCAGAUUGU